UGGCGGGCAGGCCUAACACAUGCAAGUCGAGCGGCAGCACGGGUACUUGUACCUGGUGGCGAGCGGCGGACGGGUGAGUAAUGCCUAGGAAUCUGCCUGGUAGUGGGGGAUAACGCUCGGAAACGGACGCUAAUACCGCAUACGUCCUACGGGAGAAAGCAGGGGACCUUCGGGCCUUGCGCUAUCAGAUGAGCCUAGGUCGGAUUAGCUAGUUGGUGAGGUAAUGGCUCACCAAGGCGACGAUCCGUAACUGGUCUGAGAGGAUGAUCAGUCACACUGGAACUGAGACACGGUCCAGACUCCUACGGGAGGCAGCAGUGGGGAAUAUUGGACAAUGGGCGAAAGCCUGAUCCAGCCAUGCCGCGUGUGUGAAGAAGGUCUUCGGAUUGUAAAGCACUUUAAGUUGGGAGGAAGGGCAGUUACCUAAUACGUGAUUGUUUUGACGUUACCGACAGAAUAAGCACCGGCUAACUCUGUGCCAGCAGCCGCGGUAAUACAGAGGGUGCAAGCGUUAAUCGGAAUUACUGGGCGUAAAGCGCGCGUAGGUGGUUUGUUAAGUUGAAUGUGAAAUCCCCGGGCUCAACCUGGGAACUGCAUCCAAAACUGGCAAGCUAGAGUAUGGUAGAGGGUGGUGGAAUUUCCUGUGUAGCGGUGAAAUGCGUAGAUAUAGGAAGGAACACCAGUGGCGAAGGCGACCACCUGGACU
rnacentral:rRNA from 1 species